CAUACGAUUGGGAGACAGACAGAGUCCUAGAUUGGAAAGGGGUCCCUGAAGGUCAUCCAGUCCAGCCCCAUCUGCCACAAAGGAAGACACCAUCCAAGCCCUCCUGACAGAUGGCCAUCCAGUCAUACAUACGAUUGGGAGACAGACAGAGUCCUAGAUUGGAAAGGGGUCUCUGAAGGUCAUCCAGUCCAGCCCCUUCUGCCACAAAGGAAGACACCAUCCAAGCCCUCCUGACAGAUGGCCAUCCAGUCAUACAUACGAUUGGGAGACAGACAGAAUCCUAGAUUGGAAAGGGGUCCCUGAAGGUCAUCCAGUCCAGCCCCAUCUGCCACAAAGGAAGACACCAUCCAAGCCCUCCUGACAGAUGGCCAUCCAGUCAUACAUACGAUUGGGAGACAGACAGAAUCCUAGAUUGGAAAGGGGUCCCUGAAGGUCAUCCAGUCCAGCCCCAUCUGCCACACAGGAAGACACCAUCCAAGCCCUCCUGACAGAUGGCCAUCCAGUCAUACAUACGAUUGGGAGACAGACAGAGUCCUAGAUUGGAAAGGGGUCCCUGAAGGUCAUCCAGUCCAGCCCCAUCUGCCACAAAGGAAGACACCAUCCAAGCCCUCCUCACAGAUGGCCAUCCAGUCAUACAUACGAUUGGGAGACAGACAGAGUCCUAGAUUGGAAAGGGGUCCCUGAAGGUCAUCCAGUCCAGCCCCAUCUGCCACAAAGGAAGACAUCAUCCAAGCCCUCCAGACAGAUGGCCAUCCAGUCAUACAUACGAUUGGGAGACAGACAGAGUCCUAGAUUGGAAAGGGGUCUCUGAAGGUCAUCCAGUCCAGCCCCAUCUGCCACAAAGGAAGACACCAUCCAAGCCCUCCUGACAGAUGGCCAUCCAGUCAUACAUACGAUUGGGAGACAGACAGAGUCCUAGAUUGGAAAGGGGUCCCUGAAGGUCAUCCAGUCCAGCCCCAUCUGCCACAAAGGAAGACAUCAUCCAAGCCCUCCUGACAGAUGGCCAUCCAGUCAUACAUACGAUUGGGAGACAGACAGAGUCCUAGAUUGGAAAGGGGUCUCUGAAGGUCAUCCAGUCCAGCCCCAUCUGCCACAAAGGAAGACACCAUCCAAGCCCUCCUGACAGAUGGCCAUCCAGUCAUACAUACGAUUGGGAGACAGACAGAGUCCUAGAUUGGAAAGGGGUCUCUGAAGGUCAUCCAGUCCAGCCCCAUCUGCCACAAAGGAAGACACCAUCCAAGCCCUCCUGACAGAUGGCCAUCCAGUCAUACAUACGAUUGGGAGACAGACAGAGUCCUAGAUUGGAAAGGGGUCUCUGAAGGUCAUCCAGUCCAGCCCCUUCUGCCACAAAGGAAGACACCAUCCAAGCCCUCCUGACAGAUGGCCAUCCAGUCAUACAUACGAUUGGGAGACAGACAGAGUCCUAGAUUGGAAAGGGGUCUCUGAAGGUCAUCCAGUCCAGCCCCAUCUGCCACAAAGGAAGACAUCAUCCAAGCCCUCCUGACAGAUGGCCAUCCAGUCAUACAUACGAUUGGGAGACAGACAGAGUCCUAGAUUGGAAAGGGGUCUCUGAAGGUCAUCCAGUCCAGCCCCUUCUGCCACAAAGGAAGACACCAUCCAAGCCCUCCUGACAGAUGGCCAUCCAGUCAUACAUACGAUUGGGAGACAGACAGAGUCCUAGAUUGGAAAGGGGUCUCUGAAGGUCAUCCAGUCCAGCCCCAUCUGCCACAAAGGAAGACAUCAUCCAAGCCCUCCUGACAGAUGGCCAUCCAGUCAUACAUACGAUUGGGAGACAGACAGAGUCCUAGAUUGGAAAGGGGUCUCUGAAGGUCAUCCAGUCCAGCCCCAUCUGCCACAAAGGAAGACACCAUCCAAGCCCUCCUGACAGAUGGCCAUCCAGUCAUACAUACGAUUGGGAGACAGACAGAGUCCUAGAUUGGAAAGGGGUCUCUGAAGGUCAUCCAGUCCAGCCCCAUCUGCCACAAAGGAAGACACCAUCCAAGCCCUCCUGACAGAUGGCCAUCCAGUCAUACAUACGAUUGGGAGACAGACAGAGUCCUAGAUUGGAAAGGGGUCCCUGAAGGUCAUCCAGUCCAGCCCCAUCUGCCACAAAGGAAGACACCAUCCAAGCCCUCCUGACAGAUGGCCAUCCAGUCAUACAUACGAUUGGGAGACAGACAGAGUCCUAGAUUGGAAAGGGGUCUCUGAAGGUCAUCCAGUCCAGCCCCAUCUGCCACAAAGGAAGACACCAUCCAAGCCCUCCUGACAGAUGGCCAUCCAGUCAUACAUACGAUUGGGAGACAGACAGAGUCCUAGAUUGGAAAGGGGUCUCUGAAGGUCAUCCAGUCCAGCCCCAUCUGCCACAAAGGAAGACACCAUCCAAGCCCUCCUCACAGAUGACCAUCCAGUCAUACAUACGACUGGGAGACAGACAGAGUCCUAGAUUGGAAAGGGGUCUCUGAAGGUCAUCCAGUCCAGCCCCUUCUGCCACAAAGGAAGACACCAUCCAAGCCCUCCUGACAGAUGGCCAUCCAGUCAUACAUACGAUUGGGAGACAGACAGAGUCCUAGAUUGGAAAGGGGUCUCUGAAGGUCAUCCAGUCCAGCCCCUUCUGCCACACAGGAAGACACCAUCCAAGCCCUCCUGACAGAUGGCCAUCCAGUCAUACAUACGAUUGGGAGACAGACAGAGUCCUAGAUUGGAAAGGGGUCUCUGAAGGUCAUCCAGUCCAGCCCCUUCUGCCACAAAGGAAGACACCAUCCAAGCCCUCCUGACAGAUGGCCAUCCAGUCAUACAUACGAUUGGGAGACAGACAGAGUCCUAGAUUGGAAAGGGGUCUCUGAAGGUCAUCCAGUCCAGCCCCAUCUGCCACAAAGGAAGACACCAUCCAAGCCCUCCUGACAGAUGGCCAUCCAGUCAUACAUACGAUUGGGAGACAGACAGAGUCCUAGAUUGGAAAGGGGUCUCUGAAGGUCAUCCAGUCCAGCCCCAUCUGCCACAAAGGAAGACACCAUCCAAGCCCUCCAGACAGAUGGCCAUCCAGUCAUACAUACGACUGGGAGACAGACAGAGUCCUAGAUUGGAAAGCGGUCCCUGAAGGUCAUCCAGUCCAGCCCCAUCUGCCACAAAGGAAGACACCAUCCAAGCCCUCCUGACAGAUGGCCAUCCAGUCAUACAUACGAUUGGGAGACAGACAGAGUCCUAGAUUGGAAAGGGGUCCCUGAAGGUCAUCCAGUCCAGCCCCAUCUGCCACAAAGGAAGACAUCAUCCAAGCCCUCCUGACAGAUGGCCAUCCAGUCAUACAUACGAUUGGGAGACAGACAGAGUCCUAGAUUGGAAAGGGGUCUCUGAAGGUCAUCCAGUCCAGCCCCAUCUGCCACAAAGGAAGACACCAUCCAAGCCCUCCAGACAGAUGGCCAUCCAGUCAUACAUACGAUUGGGAGACAGACAGAGUCCUAGAUUGGAAAGCGGUCCCUGAAGGUCAUCCAGUCCAGCCCCAUCUGCCACAAAGGAAGACACCAUCCAAGCCCUCCAGACAGAUGGCCAUCCAGUCAUACAUACGAUUGGGAGACAGACAGAGUCCUAGAUUGGAAAGCGGUCCCUGAAGGUCAUCCAGUCCAGCCCCAUCUGCCACAAAGGAAGACACCAUCCAAGCCCUCCUGACAGAUGGCCAUCCAGUCAUACAUACGAUUGGGAGACAGACAGAGUCCUAGAUUGGAAAGGGGUCCCUGAAGGUCAUCCAGUCCAGCCCCAUCUGCCACAAAGGAAGACAUCAUCCAAGCCCUCCUGACAGAUGGCCAUCCAGUCAUACAUACGAUUGGGAGACAGACAGAGUCCUAGAUUUGAAAGGGGUCUCUGAAGGUCAUCCAGUCCAGCCCCUUCUGCCACAAAGGAAGACACCAUCCAAGCCCUCCUGACAGAUGGCCAUCCAGUCAUACAUACGAUUGGGAGACAGACAGAGUCCUAGAUUUGAAAGGGGUCUCUGAAGGUCAUCCAGUCCAGCCCCAUCUGCCACAAAGGAAGACACCAUCCAAGCCCUCCUGACAGAUGGCCAUCCAGUCAUACAUACGAUUGGGAGACAGACAGAGUCCUAGAUUGGAAAGGGGUCUCUGAAGGUCAUCCAGUCCAGCCCCAUCUGCCACAAAGGAAGACACCAUCCAAGCCCUCCUGACAGAUGGCCAUCCAGUCAUACAUACGAUUGGGAGACAGACAGAGUCCUAGAUUGGAAAGGGGUCCCUGAAGGUCAUCCAGUCCAGCCCCAUCUGCCACAAAGGAAGACAUCAUCCAAGCCCUCCUGACAGAUGGCCAUCCAGUCAUACAUACGAUUGGGAGACAGACAGAGUCCUAGAUUGGAAAGGGGUCCCUGAAGGUCAUCCAGUCCAGCCCCAUCUGCCACAAAGGAAGACACCAUCCAAGCCCUCCAGACACAUGGCCAUCCAGUCAUACAUACGACUGGGAGACAGACAGAGUCCUAGAUUAGAAAGUGGUCUCUGAAGGUCAUCCAGUCCAGCCCCUUCUGCCACAAGGGAAGACACCAUCCAAGCCCUCCAGACAGAUGGCCAUCCAGUCAUACAUACGAUUGGGAGACAGACAGAGUCCUAGAUUGGAAAGGGGUCUCUGAAGGUCAUCCAGUCCAGCCCCUUCUGCCACAAAGGAAGACACCAUCCAAGCCCUCCUGACAGAUGGCCAUCCAGUCAUACAUACGAUUGGGAGACAGACAGAGUCCUAGAUUGGAAAGGGGUCUCUGAAGGUCAUCCAGUCCAGCCCCAUCUGCCACAAAGGAAGACACCAUCCAAGCCCUCCUGACAGAUGGCCAUCCAGUCAUACAUACGAUUGGGAGACAGACAGAGUCCUAGAUUGGAAAGCGGUCCCUGAAGGUCAUCCAGUCCAGCCCCAUCUGCCACAAAGGAAGACACCAUCCAAGCCCUCCUGACAGAUGGCCAUCCAGUCAUACAUACGAUUGGGAGACAGACAGAAUCCUAGAUUGGAAAGGGGUCUCUGAAGGUCAUCCAGUCCAGCCCCAUCUGCCACACAGGAAGACACCAUCCAAGCCCUCCUGACAGAUGGCCAUCCAGUCACAAAUACGAUUGGGAGACAGACAGAGUCCUAGAUUGGAAAGGGGUCCCUGAAGGUCAUCCAGUCCAGCCCCUUCUGCCACAAAGGAAGACACCAUCCAAGCCCUCCUGACAGAUGGCCAUCCAGUCAUACAUACGAUUGGGAGACAGACAGAGUCCUAGAUUGGAAAGGGGUCUCUGAAGGUCAUCCAGUCCAGCCCCUUCUGCCACAAAGGAAGACACCAUCCAAGCCCUCCUGACAGAUGGCCAUCCAGUCAUACAUACGAUUGGGAGACAGACAGAGUCCUAGAUUGGAAAGGGGUCCCUGAAGGUCAUCCAGUCCAGCCCCUUCUGCCACAAAGGAAGACACCAUCCAAGCCCUCCUGACAGAUGGCCAUCCAGUCAUACAUACGAUUGGGAGACAGACAGAGUCCUAGAUUGGAAAGGGGUCUCUGAAGGUCAUCCAGUCCAGCCCCUUCUGCCACAAAGGAAGACACCAUCCAAGCCCUCCUGACAGAUGGCCAUCCAGUCAUACAUACGAUUGGGAGACAGACAGAGUCCUAGAUUGGAAAGGGGUCUCUGAAGGUCAUCCAGUCCAGCCCCUUCUGCCACAAAGGAAGACACCAUCCAAGCCCUCCUGACAGAUGGCCAUCCAGUCAUACAUACGAUUGGGAGACAGACAGAGUCCUAGAUUGGAAAGGGGUCUCUGAAGGUCAUCCAGUCCAGCCCCUUCUGCCACAAAGGAAGACACCAUCCAAGCCCUCCUGACAGAUGGCCAUCCAGUCAUACAUACGAUUGGGAGACAGACAGAGUCCUAGAUUGGAAAGGGGUCCCUGAAGGUCAUCCAGUCCAGCCCCUUCUGCCACAAAGGAAGACACCAUCCAAGCCCUCCUGACAGAUGGCCAUCCAGUCAUACAUACGAUUGGGAGACAGACAGAGUCCUAGAUUGGAAAGGGGUCUCUGAAGGUCAUCCAGUCCAGCCCCUUCUGCCACAAAGGAAGACACCAUCCAAGCCCUCCUGACAGAUGGCCAUCCAGUCAUACAUACGAUUGGGAGACAGACAGAGUCCUAGAUUGGAAAGGGGUCCCUGAAGGUCAUCCAGUCCAGCCCCAUCUGCCACAAAGGAAGACACCAUCCAAGCCCUCCUGACAGAUGGCCAUCCAGUCAUACAUACGAUUGGGAGACAGACAGAGUCCUAGAUUGGAAAGGGGUCUCUGAAGGUCAUCCAGUCCAGCCCCUUCUGCCACAAAGGAAGACACCAUCCAAGCCCUCCUGACAGAUGGCCAUCCAGUCAUACAUACGAUUGGGAGACAGACAGAGUCCUAGAUUGGAAAGGGGUCCCUGAAGGUCAUCCAGUCCAGCCCCUUCUGCCACAAAGGAAGACACCAUCCAAGCCCUCCUGACAGAUGGCCAUCCAGUCAUACAUACGAUUGGGAGACAGACAGAGUCCUAGAUUGGAAAGGGGUCUCUGAAGGUCAUCCAGUCCAGCCCCAUCUGCCACAAAGGAAGACACCAUCCAAGCCCUCCUGACAGAUGGCCAUCCAGUCAUACAUACGAUUGGGAGACAGACAGAGUCCUAGAUUGGAAAGGGGUCCCUGAAGGUCAUCCAGUCCAGCCCCUUCUGCCACAAAGGAAGACACCAUCCAAGCCCUCCUGACAGAUGGCCAUCCAGUCAUACAUACGAUUGGGAGACAGACAGAGUCCUAGAUUGGAAAGGGGUCUCUGAAGGUCAUCCAGUCCAGCCCCUUCUGCCACAAAGGAAGACACCAUCCAAGCCCUCCUGACAGAUGGCCAUCCAGUCAUACAUACGAUUGGGAGACAGACAGAGUCCUAGAUUGGAAAGGGGUCCCUGAAGGUCAUCCAGUCCAGCCCCUUCUGCCACAAAGGAAGACACCAUCCAAGCCCUCCUGACAGAUGGCCAUCCAGUCAUACAUACGAUUGGGAGACAGACAGAGUCCUAGAUUGGAAAGGGGUCUCUGAAGGUCAUCCAGUCCAGCCCCUUCUGCCACAAAGGAAGACACCAUCCAAGCCCUCCUGACAGAUGGCCAUCCAGUCAUACAUACGAUUGGGAGACAGACAGAGUCCUAGAUUGGAAAGGGGUCCCUGAAGGUCAUCCAGUCCAGCCCCUUCUGCCACAAAGGAAGACACCAUCCAAGCCCUCCUGACAGAUGGCCAUCCAGUCAUACAUACGAUUGGGAGACAGACAGAGUCCUAGAUUGGAAAGGGGUCUCUGAAGGUCAUCCAGUCCAGCCCCUUCUGCCACAAAGGAAGACACCAUCCAAGCCCUCCUGACAGAUGGCCAUCCAGUCAUACAUACGAUUGGGAGACAGACAGAGUCCUAGAUUGGAAAGGGGUCCCUGAAGGUCAUCCAGUCCAGCCCCUUCUGCCACAAAGGAAGACACCAUCCAAGCCCUCCUGACAGAUGGCCAUCCAGUCAUACAUACGAUUGGGAGACAGACAGAGUCCUAGAUUGGAAAGGGGUCUCUGAAGGUCAUCCAGUCCAGCCCCUUCUGCCAUAAAGGAAGACACCAUCCAAGCCCUCCUGACAGAUGGCCAUCCAGUCAUACAUACGAUUGGGAGACAGACAGAGUCCUAGAUUGGAAAGGGGUCCCUGAAGGUCAUCCAGUCCAGCCCCAUCUGCCACAAAGGAAGACACCAUCCAAGCCCUCCUGACAGAUGGCCAUCCAGUCAUACAUACGAUUGGGAGACAGACAGAGUCCUAGAUUGGAAAGGGGUCCCUGAAGGUCAUCCAGUCCAGCCCCUUCUGCCACAAAGGAAGACACCAUCCAAGCCCUCCUGACAGAUGACCAUCCAGUCAUACAUACGAUUGGGAGACAGACAGAGUCCUAGAUUGGAAAGGGGUCUCUGAAGGUCAUCCAGUCCAGCCCCUUCUGCCACAAAGGAAGACACCAUCCAAGCCCUCCUGACAGAUGGCCAUCCAGUCAUACAUACGAUUGGGAGACAGACAGAGUCCUAGAUUGGAAAGGGGUCUCUGAAGGUCAUCCAGUCCAGCCCCUUCUGCCACAAAGGAAGACACCAUCCAAGCCCUCCUGACAGAUGGCCAUCCAGUCAUACAUACGAUUGGGAGACAGACAGAGUCCUAGAUUGGAAAGGGGUCUCUGAAGGUCAUCCAGUCCAGCCCCUUCUGCCACAAAGGAAGACACCAUCCAAGCCCUCCUGACAGAUGGCCAUCCAGUCAUACAUACGAUUGGGAGACAGACAGAGUCCUAGAUUGGAAAGGGGUCCCUGAAGGUCAUCCAGUCCAGCCCCUUCUGCCACAAAGGAAGACACCAUCCAAGCCCUCCUGACAGAUGGCCAUCCAGUCAUACAUACGAUUGGGAGACAGACAGAGUCCUAGAUUGGAAAGGGGUCCCUGAAGGUCAUCCAGUCCAGCCCGUUCUGCCACAAAGGAAGACACCAUCCAAGCCCUCCUGACAGAUGGCCAUCCAGUCAUACAUACGAUUGGGAGACAGACAGAGUCCUAGAUUGGAAAGGGGUCCCUGAAGGUCAUCCAGUCCAGCCCCAUCUGCCACAAAGGAAGACACCAUCCAAGCCCUCCUGACAGAUGGCCAUCCAGUCAUACAUACGAUUGGGAGACAGACAGAGUCCUAGAUUGGAAAGGGGUCCCUGAAGGUCAUCCAGUCCAGCCCGUUCUGCCACAAAGGAAGACACCAUCCAAGCCCUCCUGACAGAUGGCCAUCCAGUCAUACAUACGAUUGGGAGACAGACAGAGUCCUAGAUUGGAAAGGGGUCCCUGAAGGUCAUCCAGUCCAGCCCCAUCUGCCACAAAGGAAGACACCAUCCAAGCCCUCCUGACAGAUGGCCAUCCAGUCAUACAUACGAUUGGGAGACAGACAGAGUCCUAGAUUGGAAAGGGGUCCCUGAAGGUCAUCCAGUCCAGCCCGUUCUGCCACAAAGGAAGACACCAUCCAAGCCCUCCUGACAGAUGGCCAUCCAGUCAUACAUACGAUUGGGAGACAGACAGAGUCCUAGAUUGGAAAGGGGUCCCUGAAGGUCAUCCAGUCCAGCCCCUUCUGCCACAAAGGAAGACACCAUCCAAGCCCUCCUGACAGAUGGCCAUCCAGUCAUACAUACGAUUGGGAGACAGACAGAGUCCUAGAUUGGAAAGGGGUCUCUGAAGGUCAUCCAGUCCAGCCCCAUCUGCCACAAAGGAAGACACCAUCCAAGCCCUCCUGACAGAUGGCCAUCCAGUCAUACAUACGAUUGGGAGACAGACAGAAUCCUAGAUUGGAAAGGGGUCUCUGAAGGUCAUCCAGUCCAGCCCCAUCUGCCACAAAGGAAGACACCAUCCAAGCCCUCCUGACAGAUGGCCAUCCAGUCAUACAUACGAUUGGGAGACAGACAGAGUCCUAGAUUGGAAAGGGGUCCCUGAAGGUCAUCCAGUCCAGCCCCUUCUGCCACAAAGGAAGACACCAUCCAAGCCCUCCUGACAGAUGGCCAUCCAGUCAUACAUACGAUUGGGAGACAGACAGAGUCCUAGAUUGGAAAGGGGUCUCUGAAGGUCAUCCAGUCCAGCCCCAUCUGCCACAAAGGAAGACACCAUCCAAGCCCUCCUGACAGAUGGCCAUCCAGUCAUACAUACGAUUGGGAGACAGACAGAAUCCUAGAUUGGAAAGGGGUCUCUGAAGGUCAUCCAGUCCAGCCCCAUCUGCCACAAAGGAAGACACCAUCCAAGCCCUCCUGACAGAUGGCCAUCCAGUCAUACAUACGAUUGGGAGACAGACAGAGUCCUAGAUUGGAAAGCGGUCCCUGAAGGUCAUCCAGUCCAGCCCCAUCUGCCACAAAGGAAGACACCAUCCAAGCCCUCCUGACAGAUGGCCAUCCAGUCAUACAUACGAUUGGGAGACAGACAGAAUCCUAGAUUGGAAAGGGGUCUCUGAAGGUCAUCCAGUCCAGCCCCAUCUGCCACAAAGGAAGACAUCAUCCAAGCCCUCCUGACAGAUGGCCAUCCAGUCAUACAUACGAUUGGGAGACAGACAGAGUCCUAGAUUGGAAAGCGGUCCCUGAAGGUCAUCCAGUCCAGCCCCAUCUGCCACAAAGGAAGACACCAUCCAAGCCCUCCUGACAGAUGGCCAUCCAGUCAUACAUACGAUUGGGAGACAGACAGAAUCCUAGAUUGGAAAGGGGUCUCUGAAGGUCAUCCAGUCCAGCCCCAUCUGCCACACAGGAAGACACCAUCCAAGCCCUCCUGACAGAUGGCCAUCCAGUCAUACAUACGAUUCGGAGACAGACAGAGUCCUAGAUUGGAAAGGGGUCCCUGAAGGUCAUCCAGUCCAGCCCCAUCUGCCACAAAGGAAGACACCAUCCAAGCCCUCCUGACAGAUGGCCAUCCAGUCAUACAUACGAUUGGGAGACAGACAGAGUCCUAGAUUGGAAAGGGGUCCCUGAAGGUCAUCCAGUCCAGCCCCAUCUGCCACAAAGGAAGACAUCAUCCAAGCCCUCCUGACAGAUGGCCAUCCAGUCAUACAUACGAUUGGGAGACAGACAGAGUCCUAGAUUUGAAAGGGGUCUCUGAAGGUCAUCCAGUCCAGCCCCUUCUGCCACAAAGGAAGACACCAUCCAAGCCCUCCUGACAGAUGGCCAUCCAGUCAUACAUACGAUUGGGAGACAGACAGAGUCCUAGAUUUGAAAGGGGUCUCUGAAGGUCAUCCAGUCCAGCCCCUUCUGCCACAAAGGAAGACACCAUCCAAGCCCUCCUGACAGAUGGCCAUCCAGUCAUACAUACGAUUGGGAGACAGACAGAGUCCUAGAUUGGAAAGGGGUCCCUGAAGGUCAUCCAGUCCAGCCCCAUCUGCCACAAAGGAAGACAUCAUCCAAGCCCUCCUGACAGAUGGCCAUCCAGUCAUACAUACGAUUGGGAGACAGACAGAGUCCUAGAUUGGAAAGGGGUCCCUGAAGGUCAUCCAGUCCAGCCCCAUCUGCCACACAGGAAGACACCAUCCAAGCCCUCCUGACAGAUGGCCAUCCAGUCAUACAUACGAUUGGGAGACAGACAGAGUCCUAGAUUGGAAAGGGGUCCCUGAAGGUCAUCCAGUCCAGCCCCAUCUGCCACAAAGGAAGACACCAUCCAAGCCCUCCUGACAGAUGGCCAUCCAGUCAUACAUACGAUUGGGAGACAGACAGAGUCCUAGAUUGGAAAGGGGUCCCUGAAGGUCAUCCAGUCCAGCCCCAUCUGCCACAAAGGAAGACACCAUCCAAGCCCUCCUGACAGAUGGCCAUCCAGUCAUACAUACGAUUGGGAGACAGACA